rnacentral:lncRNA from 12 species
CAAAAAAAUAAAGGAGACAGAAACAUGGACAGCUCAUUGUGCUCCAGGAUGUCAAACGAGCAGAGAGUGUGAAGAAAAGCAUGUAAUGCCCUGAGAAAAUAGCACUCCUGACACAGCCAGCACAGUCUCCUGGAAAAUGCUGUCUAAUUUCAUUUUUUUUGGUUGUGUAUAGCUCAG